AUGCAGAGCCUGAAUUGCUGCCGGCCGACAGGGGGCAUUAGCCAGCUUCUGAGGAAACUAUUCAGAGCCAGUCAGUCUUCUUUUAUAGACGUCACUCAGGAGAUCUACGCAGGCGGUGAUCCUUGUUUGUCAGCGGUGCACCGUACCUGGCGCUCGUUCAUAGACAUGGUUUAUCACUCUAGUUUCAUUGACGAUGAUGAGAUCACAAAAGCCUGUGGGUGUCCUUUGCUUCCACUAAAAACUCAUAUAAAGGGCCCAGCCCCAGCCGCGGAUUCAGAUAAGGCGGAUAUAGUUGAUGAAGCGAUAACUUUCUUCCGAGCAAAUGUUUUCUUCAAAAACUUCCAUGUCAAAAGCCCAGCAGACAAAUUGCUCAUCUAUCUGACAUCUUACAUCAAUAUUGCCUUGAAAAGACUAGAAACCUGCCGGACGCUGGCUGUCGGAACUAAGGCAAUCAUUAACCUGGGGUUGGAAAAAGUUCCUGUGCCUGGGGAACCAGGGUUUCCUUUUCCUGGACUUUUCACUCUCCCCCAAUCUGGGGAGGAAGCAGAACUGCUGAGGAACUAUCUGAAGCAGAUAAGGGAGGAAACGAGCGGGAGGCUGCUCAACUGCGCAUACAGAGCUAAUGGCACUCCAAACAAAUGGUGGCUGGCUUUUGCAAAGAGGAAGUUCAUGAACGUUGUCAUCCUUUAG
rnacentral:rRNA from 1 species